ensembl:lncRNA
GAUGAUAAAUUGACCUUAUACAUGUCACCUUGAAAUUCUCUGUUUGAUUACUUUUGACUGAAAUUAUACGUUCAAAUGUUGGAAAAAUAAGAUUGUAGUAAUCUGCGAUUGUAUUCUAACCCUCUUUAUCUGUAUCUUUGUCUUCCGGUUGUAAAAAAUGGGGUCUAUGAGAAAAUGACCUCCUCUCUCUUGAUUCGUUCCCUCAGUAAACAUUAUUAUUGUGAGUUUAUGUUCUUAACGUGUCACAGUUUAAUCGAGCUGGAAUAACUGGAAGGAUCCUGUACAGUGUCAAAAGAGAAAAGCACAGCUGACACACUGCAUGGCUUUUCCUUCGUCAGCCUGUGAAACCUUUGGGAGGGCCGGCCAAUCAGUUUCAGUCCACAGCGCAGUAUGAUUCAAUGCAAAAAAGGUAUCAAACAUGCAUUAUUACAAUAAAAUAUUAAAUUGUUGGAAAAAAUGUUGAAUAAUUAACAUAAUAAGGACAUCAUAUUCAAACAAUUCAGUAUAUUAAUGAAUAUUUACGUAACGGUAUAUAUAAAACAGUAUUCGGAAUAUGAUAUAACUACCAUAUCUGUUAUAAAUAUCUAAUAUGAAUAUCUAUAAUAAAUAUAUCGUAUUAGAGGAUAAAUAUAUUACAAUAUGAAUAUAUUUAUAUAAAAUGUAUCAGAACAUGUAUAUAUAUAUAUAUAUUUAUGCAAAUACAGGGCGUUAGCAUGUAGCUAACUAGCUAAACAUCCCGGCGUAGAAGUCUACAGAAGCCUCAUAUAUCUCCUUCCCUUCCACGCCGGUCCGCGGUCUGACCGUGAGGUCGGGCUGGUCUGGUCCCGCUGUCUUUCCUCUGGUCCUUCUCUCUAGCGAGUUGGGGGUCGGGUCUUCUCGGAGGACACUGCCGGUGGACGCUCUCGUUAUGUUGUCAAACGGCGCGUCGGAGACUCGCCCUGACAGAGCGCAGCGCAGGGCGCCGAAGGGCCCAAACCUCAGUGUAUUUUAGAUGAUGUCACUCAUUUAUCUUUCAAUUGCAAUCAAUCACCCAAGUUACUGAUAGAUAAUGUCUAAUUUACAUAUUCAAACAGAACUUAAAACUUCAAAACUACAAAAAAAAUAAUUUUCUUGAAAUAAGUAAUCAACUGGGGAAUUUUUGCGUUGAUACAUAUUGGUUCAUCAUUUAAACUAUUCGCCCGUGGUCUAUAAAAUGGAUGCAGCUUUGUAAAACAUUUAGGCCAUUUCUUCUACUUCUGAUUUAGCUCGGACUUGGCGCCACAAAUCUCCACUUCAGCAGUUCUCACAUCUAACUUUCCAUUCAUUCCCAUCUAUUUCAAAAGUUUUAAUUGGGUUUGUUCAUAUAUCAUUCAUAACACAAUAUAUACAAGUAUUACUAUAGACAAGCCAUCAUGGAUUCCUUAUUUAAUGGCUGUUGAUAGUAUUUUCUGAUUUAUCGACAGAUACAAAUAUAUGUAAAAAAUCCUGUAAAGUAUCAGCAAAAAUAUGAAAUAAAUAAAUAAAUGAAAUAACAAUUUUGAGCCUAGCUUUAUCAAAUGUUCAAAUGUAAAAGCAUAGAGGGAGAGCUAAGGAAUGUUUCGGGUUCAAUGGUGCCUCUUACAAUACUUGGUCUUUGUUUUCUCUGCGAAGGGUUUGUUUCCAGUGAAGAGGGAAGUUUAUCUUGAAAAUACCCUUUGCUGUAAGCAGCAGACAUUUUAUUGACACAAUUUUUCGAAAAAUAGGUUUAUAUUGCAUGAGUUGUAAUGUAGUAAAUUCAUAUUUUUUAGUAUGUUUAAUUUCAAUAUAAUCCCUUUAAGGUUUUUAAUUUGUUUCAUGGUGUUACAUAACAUUUUAAGAGGCCUCAUGGUCUGCAAUUGAGCCAGGUGCUCUCUUUGUAUCCCAGGACACAUCAAUAAUUGUAUCCUUUGAUAGGCACUCCUCUGAAAACAGCAGUGGGAAACCCAUCUUUAAAAAAAUCAAUUUCAAUGAUAUUCCAAUUAUUGUUAUCAAUGGUCCUGUACUGUGACACAAAGGGUUGUCUUCUCCUGGUUCCUUUUUUGUUGUUGUUAAACAAGAUCCUGCUUUUUUAGCUUAUCCUUCAUGAAAGUUUGUCUUUUUUCUUUGUUUCACUGGUUAAAUUAUAGUUUCCCAUUUCUUUACACAGUCUAAUUUUUAUUAAAAACUGCAAGGUCUUUUAAGGGUUGUUGUAGAGGGCAGACCAGACCGUGCUCUACAGUAUGGUCUGCUUCUCCACACUCACAGGUGGUUGGGCCAGUCUUGUAGCCCCAUCUGGCCUCAGCAGCCUUUGACCUUCCUGUUCUCAAUCUGAGAUGGUUUGAAGUUUUCCAUUGAAACCAUUGUGCUUGUGGGUUUUCAUUGGGGGUCUUUCCAUGACAGUUGGAGAAGGGUCUUUCUCAAGCUUUUCCAUCUACAGUUGGAUUCUGGUUUCUUCCUGAAACUUUUUAGGGGCUGGCCAUGGCUGCGAAAGCUUCUUCUUGACUUUAGCCGUUGGACUGGAGGUUGACAUCCAUGGAAGAGAUGGCCUUCAUCACUUGUAGAUUUUCUUUUUCCGACUCGGCAGGCAACAUCCCGUCUAAUAUCGGCUGGGGCAAUGCCAGCCAGGAGGUGAAGGUUGCUUGUAUUGGUGGGUUUCAAGCGGCCGGUGAUCAGGCAGAAGGUGUUGUUCAGUGCUCGGUCAAGUUUCUGGCCUGGGUUGACCUCUCCAAAACCGGGCAUGCAUAUUCUGUAGAGGAGUAGCACUAGGCCGGAGUAGUAGACGUGUGUGCAGUGGUUCCCCACUUGGAGUUGGUCGGUUUCCGUAGGAUGAUGUUUCGGGAAUAGAGUGGUUACAGUGCUCAAGUGUUGUUCCAGACUAUUUAAUGAUAAGUGCUUGGUUGGCUUCACCGUUCCUGAGAAGGAAGGAGCAGACUUGGGUCUUUGCAGGGUUGGCACGCAGGUGGUUCCACUUAUAACGGCGAAGUAACUUAUCUAUAGCUGUGGUGAGGUUCAGUUCUACUGCUUCAAACAAGUUAUCUUGGGAUGUUACACAGACAUCGUCUGUUGGUAGCGGGGCAGCACACUACCUUACUGAAUUGAGCGAAAGCCUAAUGUCUGGAUUGAAAGCUAUCUACCGAUCAGCAACGCGUUUGCCGGUUUGCUUGCAAAAAUGUCGUUGGGCUUCAUUAGGGUUCGGUCCCCAAAUCAACCUGUAAACUCAAUUUUGUCAUUGUCGGGACGUCGUUUGUCAUAUUCAAAUAUCCAUGAGCUGACAAUAGUUAUUGUUCACUAGCAGUGAAAAUGAUUACAGGUACAUCUGCAUAAUGACCAUGAAGCUCAGGUCAUAUCGGAUUGAUUGGCGAGGUUAGGCACGCUCCCACAAUGUUGCCUUUAAGUUGUCAAAUCUUGAAAAAGGAAAUCUUAGUAUAAGGAAUAUAGGUUGCACACAUCUAACUCGCUUCAUAGGAACACAGUUGCUAACACAGUUCCUACCUUAAAGACAAAUGGAGGGUAAGAUACGAAGGGUUUACAUAUAUACAUUAUGAUUAUUAGUUUGGUUGACUCACAUGCUGCAUAUUCCAAAAUGUUGUUGCAAACGAACAUGUUUGUGUUGUGCUUAAUUAUCCAUUCAAUGACACAAAAGCAAUGUUAUUCAUGUUCAUUUGGACUUCACAAAAGUCCUUUAUUGUUAACAACAUAACAGCAGCGACGGACUGGCUUUGACUGGGAGACUUCUCGCUCCUCACCCCUCCAUCCCCGUCCUCCUGUUCCUCCCUCUGAAUUAUGUCUGUCAAGUCUUUCUCCAUCAUUGCGGCCCUUCGACUGGGAUCUCUCUGCAGACGGUCGCGGUCACAUGCGUGAGGGCUGGUGGGGGAUGCUGUCUGUCCUUUCCUGUCCGGUGGCAAGUGGAGGGGAGCUGCCUCCCCUGGGUGCCCCCAUCCUUGUGCGCCACACAGACCAUAUGGCCUGGCCUGGCCCCUCUAGAUGGGUGAGCUGGUCCGCGGACCACCUGAGGCAGCAGGAGCUCUCGUAAUCACUGGAGACAAGGGCCACUUGACACCAGGCUGACAGAUGGUGCUCCGGCACUGAUGCCCUGGACUGCUGCUGCUACUAGAGUGUGUGUGUGUGUGUUCAGAUUGAGAGGCACAAUAAGGGCGAUGAUGUGUCAGGGGCGGUUAAACAUGAUGGUGGCAGCCCGUCUUCCUUUGUCUCUUGGGCAGCCGUAGCCCCAGGCCAUGACUGCAGGCAAAUUUCAUCACAUAUAAAAGGAGCAGAGCCCAAACAACAGAUAAGGACAACAGUGUCCCACUGCAGCACGACGUCAAGAUUCACUGAGCAAAAACGCUUUACAUACCAACUAAUUUGGAGUCUAGGCAAUUCAUUUGUAUUUAUACAGCCAUAGAUCCCAAAUUUGCCUCAAGGGGCAUUUCAAUAGGUGAAGUGGACAAUCACCUUUCUUUAGGGGUUCAUCCUCCACAACAAGCUAUCUACAUAAUACAUACAACAUAAACCCAUUGGAAACCAAACAAAAACUUUAGCAAGGGCAUUAGGGCUAUUUUAACACCUCCAUCGUAUCCAAUCUUUCCAAGACAUCUAUUUUUUGGGGUGACGUCAUGAGAUGUUUCCUCCACUUUGACAGAAAGCUAGCUAGAACCUUGAGUAUGACAUCAGAAUGACAUCAUUCACGUCAAUGUGUUUUUCUCCAUAUUCCCACAACUGUGUCGCAUUGCACUUCUGCGGAGAUACAUACAGUAUGUCAAAAUUAAUUUAGUUGUUUUGUAUUUAUGAGGAUUAUACGAUUCAACAUGGUGUGAAAACUACAAAUCUGCAAACUCCAGGAGAAGGAAAAUGACACACUGAGGCUCUCAUGUACGUACAUUUGCAAAACAGCGUUAACAGCGCCAGAGACAACCCGCAAGAAAGCGCACGCUGUGAUACUUCAGUUUAUGUUGGAUUUCCAAAACCUGCAGCUCAUCAGCGCCUUUCUCCGCUCACCACACUGCACACUGCGGGCAUUUAAACACCCAUUUGAAUGGGCCUCCUUCUCUCUUAGAUCAACCAAAGUCAAAACGGCUAAAACAAAACUUCAGUGACAACGAAGUUGAUGUGUUUUUUGGGCAUCAGCGGUGGGGAAAUCUAGUGAGCUGUAGCAAAGCGUUCAGUACUUGUGCUGUGAUCUUGUUAUGAUCCCGUUACCAAUAAUUGUAAUUUAGCGAGGAGUUCAACAACUGCUGGAAUGGAAUGUGAACGCUGAGCGGGAGAUGCGAUGUUGGUAACUGUAAUAUUGCAUGGCUGCUUAACCUGUAACGCGUAAUGACCUCCUGUUCACUCAACUGAAAAAGGUUUGAUCCUUUCUGCUCGUCCCCUUGGCCUAUGUGACUGUCUGGCUUGUAUUGUUAUUUCACCAGGAGGCAUAUGUGAGGAAACGCGCAUUCUGGUUUACACCUGCUCUCAGAAGCGGAGACGUGCGUUCACGGGUGGUUUCUGUAGAUACCGCGGAAUACAUGAUUAGACACAUCCCCUUCCAUCUCUUCGUGGGAAAACUUCCCCUUGAACCCUCCUGUGAAUGCAUACGCAUGACAUGGAAAGCGCGAUUUGCCUUUUUCUGUUCCUGCAACAGACAGUCGCACAUUGCAAAACACAUACGCCUGAAGUGGGCGCAAAAGCGUACAUGAGGCCCUGUGUCCAGUUUUGAUCAACAGAUCAAUAAAACUACAGGCUUGUACGAGAAAGAUACUCAGGAAAGUUAUCACUGAAUGCAAUCUUUUAUCAGGAAGAGUGUAAGGUAAUCAAGAGAAAACCAGCGUUAGAGCAACAAGGCAAUCCACCAAGAGUGUGUUCUUGGCGUAUUCGAUGUCACAACAUCAGGCAGGGUUACAGUUAAAGUUGAGUCGCGGUCACCUUGGACCCCGCCACCCACUGUGUUGAUGCACUAUCUCCAUUUAAAUGGAGGCGCAUAUAUCAAGAGGGCCCUUGUAGGUUUGAACAAAGCCUUUGUAGCUGGUAUUCCUAGGUGGUCUGGAUCACUCUACAAUGAGGACGCAGAGGUAUCGGUCAGGUCUGCAUUGUGAUUGGAUAUCACAACGCUUUAGUAAAUCUACCCAAUGCUGGACUAAUAAAGAAUGGUCUAAUGUUAAAUCAUCUUAUUCUGUCUAAAGAAACUAUAUUCCUGUACAACUAAACCGCAUUAUCAUGGACGUUUUGGGGGGUUUCUCACCGUUAACAGUUUAUCGUAUUGAAGUUAUCUUGUAAAUUUAAACCUUUUAAAAACACUGAAAAACGUCUUUGUUGAGUACAGUAAAAAAUUGUGGUUAGACUUCAAGAAUAAGUGCAUUUUACCUUUUAACCUACCAUUGAAAUUACCGUUGAAAUUGCAGAAAUGAACUGAAAUUGUCACGGUGUGGUUCACGUCCUGUCUUAUUUUGUAGUUUUCUGCCACUCGUGUCCCCGGGUAACUUCACUUCCUGCCUUGUCCUGUCAUCCCCUGUGAUUGUUUGAUCCUUUCCACCUGUGUCCAAUCACCUGCACCUCCCUUGUGUAUUUAAGCCGUGUGUGUCUCUUGUGUCACUGGUGGCGUCAUUGUCGAAAGUCCUGGAUGUCUCUCAUUCCUGCCUGCAUUUUUUCCCCCUGGUACCUGUAUGCGUUUUGGCCCCUUGGCCAUUUUGAGUUGGAGUUUAUGACUAUUAAAUUCUUUUUGCUUUAAACUCUGCAUUUGAGUCCUGCCUUCCACCCACCCCGACAGAAAUAAGUCAAUGUUAAUUGUGGUUUCACACAGAAAUAACAUUAUUCAGACAAAAAAUUGUAAUUGCCAAUCCAGUUUGAUACAGAGGCGUUAUUGAAAGGAGAGGCUGGUCUACAAAGCUAAAUUAAUCCCAGACAGCAGCAUCACUGCCGCACCAUCUCCACACAAUGAUAAGAGGGCCAAUCACUAACAAACUAAUUUAAAUCUCGUCUCUGAAAACCUUGGCAUGCUUCAAAUGGGGAUAAUUCUGAACCACAAGUGCGCAAUGCCACAUGGUUAACGUUGUAAAAUAACUUUUAUUAAAGGUCAUUUAGCUGAUGCUUUUAUCCAAAGCGACUUACAUUGCAUUUUUAAUCCAUGUUUUUUUUUUACAUUUUGCCCAGGGAGAAGUUAGGGGUCAGGGGUCUUGCUCAGGGACACUUUGACACGGGACAUGGAGCAGCCGGGGUUCGAGCCGCCAACCUUGUGGUUCCCAGCGCACCCUCUCUACUCCGGGCGCCACCGUCGACCCCUCUAUGUGAGGCGCAAUGCGGAAAACAGGAACAUAACAAGGACGGAAUUGGGAAAUUCAAUUUGAUGGGAGAAAGAAAAGGAAUAAGCUUUGAAACGCAGAAUGUCACGGAUAUUAUCUCCAUAUAUCUCCAUUUCACCCAAAACUAUUCAAAUCCACACACAUCUAUCUUUUAUCUUUUAAACAUAUUCACUGCUGGAUUCUCAUAGUAGUCAAACAAAAAAAAAGUCUGUUCGUUGACACCUUAGAGAAGAAAAGUGCCGUCCAUCCCCAGUGGACUUCUCACAUUUGUCUCAACGCAUACUUGUAUUUAUGUUCUCACGAGGUUACCAAAAAGCUUUUCUCCCCCCGAUUUAAAAAUGGACAUUCAAUACUGCAUUGCAGUGCGAACAAUGACCUCAGUCUGUCGAUGCUGAAUGUUGUGUUUACUUGUCUAGACAUUGCCUGUGCCGGUCAGAUCUCUGCAAAUCAAUAUUUCAUCACUGUAGCGGCCAAACGUCAUAAGCCUGACAGCUCUGAUAAGUACUCGCAGCAGCUACGCUGAGGAGGGAACGCACUUCCACGUUCUCCAUGCAGAAAGGAGAGGCCACAGAGAUGUCUGUUGUUCGGACAGAUGCUUACUUUGGUGGCACCAUGACAGAAAAUGGACUCCAAUCUGUUUUGCUCAUCAGAUUAGAAGAGAUUUACUCAGCCAGUAAAUGGGGAAGAUGGAUGGAGAUAGAGAGUGUGUUUGAUCAGUUUGGAUGCUGGGGGUACGUGCGUGUGCGUGUGCGUGUGCGUGCUUUGGUGCCACAGCCUCUCAAAGCUUUUCUUUGCACGGCUUGUCUGUCUGAGCCUUGACAGCCAGCACCAUCCAUGGAAUCCACACACAGGCCAGAGCUGGUCCAGCAGGAAUCCUACCAACCAUCAGCUUCUAUGUUAUGAGUUUGCACUUUCCUUUGUUUAAAUCAGUAGAAUUCUUUUACAUUUUAACACUCUGCUUGCAUAUAAAACACCCAUAAUUGCAGGGGACCUGUCCUGUCCCAGGCAUCAGGAAACAAUGUUAGCGAUUUACAUUUUCUUUCAACCACUUAUACGUUGAAUGCAGAUGUCUUGGCAAACAAUGUAGUAUAUACUGUAUAUUAAUAUAGUAUUUAGCAGCCGUUAUUAAAAGUUAGGUGGUAUAAAAACACUAUCUAAAGUUAAGCGAUAUAAUCCUGUUAUUGAAAGUUAUUUGAUAAAGCGACACAUGAAUUUGGGGACCGAUUUGUUGUAAUUAGUGUGAGUCCCCUCAAUGUUCCAUGACAUGUGGGUAGACAGCAUGGUUGUUAAGCCUAAGUGCGCCUCGUGCUGGACACGGAGGAUACUAAAAUGUGCAGCAGUGUCUUAAAAAGAGACAUUUAUAGGUAACUCUUCCAAACUCUCCUACCUUCACAUUUUGUCCUCAAAUAAAGCGUCUCAACCUUUGGUGGAGGGAUUAAAAAUCUAGAUUAUGAAAGAAAAUCAUCAAGAAUCAAUUAAUAUGAUGCAGCUUCUAAUGAAAUCAUUUGACGUAUAACAACUCCAAGGAAAAUUAUUCCAGUGUUUUAUGAAAUAAAGAGCAUAAUCUCAUGGCCCUACUCUGCACUGACCACAGGUCACCCGUCCCUCAGGUCUCCUCUGGAAUCGACUUGAGCUCUCAUUCGCUGUAGCUUCCUGUCCGCCCAGAUAUUUAGCUGGCUAGCUUGAUACAUUGUGUUCCAGAGCGCGCUGACACCAGUUUGCCCUCUGAUAUUUGUUGAAGAUCAGUAGGUAAAUAAAUCCAAUCCCCAAUUUCAGAAAAGGGUCUUUUGAUUUUUCCCACCUUCAUUGCACUGCAACAUUGUGCCUUAUAAAUGUGAAUUUAUGUAAUGUUAGCUUUGAACUAGCCACUGUGACGCCCAACAAUUUUGAUCGCCAGUGCUAAUCUGUACUGGGGGCUGAUCUUUUUUAUUUCAACACAUGGAAAAUGGAAGCCGUAAUGCAUUGAUACUUUUCUUCAGCAGAGGUUUAGUCGUAACUCCUAAAUCCUGUGGAUAAAGUCCUUCAGCCGUAGAAUAUUUUCUGGUUGAGUGAGUCUUUGGCUUUCGGGUUUUCUACCAAAGGAGAUGAAACAAUGAUCUCCUAAUUAGUGGGUGAAGAACAUGGGAUUGAUAGACUACAGAGUUGAUGAGCUGAUGAAUGGGAAUAAAUGCAGGCAGGCGUUGAGGGAGACUGGGCUCACAUAUACAGAACCACACAUCAAUACCAGCAGACAGGAUCAAUGGGAAGCACAGGGGAGUCAUAAAGUCAUCAUGUGCAUCAUGGACAUACCAACGGCUGAGUGUGCCAACAGAGCAGCCACCUCAUUUUGUCAAGAUCAUUCGUGAAAACGCUAUUUCUUUUGUAACAUGCUGGGGCAGACUGUCAUGACUGUCAGGUCUCCAAACCAACUGCUUGUGCAGCAGCUCUGAGAAUCACUGCUGAGUAUUUCAAAGCGAGAAGAAAAUGUUUGCUAUUUUUCUAUGUGGAAAAACUAAGUAAAAAGCUUUUACAUCAUGUUGUCUGAUUCCACUCUUGACGCUUUAAAAUCACACAAGAUAACUAUUUUUGCAACUCUAAAUGUGUAUUCUAUGUUUGGUUCUUUUCGAAGCCCCCCAAAAACUACAAAGGCGUUUCCACAGCAACGACCACUGACGAAAACCACAAAUUUUUGAUACAUUUUCUGUAAGUUCUUUAGAUUUUACUGACCAAAGUUGAUCCAAUUAACUCCCAAGUUAGUGCACGAUUAACGAGUUAACGAUAUUAACGAGUUAGUGCAGUCCCUCGAAAUACGCAUACAACAUUAAAAAUGUCUGAGUUUAGUAGGGGGCGCUAUCGAGCCAAAAUUGCAGCUCUGUUUUAAAAUCAUACCUUUGUGUGUGUUCAUGUGUGAAACUGAUUUUAUGGUGAUGCAACUUACUUAGACAGAAAUCCAAAGAAUAGAGACAUUAACGACAUUUCUAAGCUAUCCAUCCAUCCAUCCAUUGUCAAACCGCUUAUCCUGCACACAGGGUCGCGGGGGGGCUGGAGUCCAUCCCAGCCAACUUCGGGCGAUAGACAGGGUACAUCCUGGAUUGGUCGCCAGCCAAUCGCAGGGCGACACAGAGACAAACAACAAUUCACACUCACAUUCACACAGCUACGGGCAAUUUAAAGUCCCCAAUUAACCUGAUCCCCAGAGCAUGUCUUUGGACCGUGGGAGGAAGCCGGAGAACCCGGAGAGAACCCACGCAGACACGGGGAGAACAUGCAGACUCCACACAGAAAGGCCACUGGGCAGAAUCGAACCCAGGACCUUCUUGCUGUGAGGCAACAGUGCUAACCACCACACCACCGUGCCGCCGUGCCGCCCCCAUUUCUAAGCUAUGACUGACUAAAUAUUUGCUUGUAUGUGUCUUCAGGCCGGGAGUAUCAUCAAGGAUGGGACAUAAUAAACAUUAGCACUGCCACUAAACAACACGCGCACGGGACUCCAACCGGGCUUCCCUUUCACUGAGCCAAUUGGUGCUGGCCUACAAAAAUAUUGAAGUACUGCAAUAAAUAAGCGUCCCAAAUAAGUCCCAAAGUGGAGGGUCAGUUAGCUUUGAGAGUCGAGAGGACCUCCCAGGUUCCUCCAACCAUCAUGGCCACCUUCAUGCUGACAUAGUGAUGGAUUGUUAACAGAGACCGAUUGCAUUUCAUGUUUGAGAGGGACGGAGCCAAGGUUGAACAGAGGUGUUGACGAGCUGCAAGUGAAGGGUAUUACGUUCCAGUUGCUUCUCAACGGACUGAGAGCUUUGUAUCACUGUGUCGCCCCAGUAAGCUUGACUCAUGUGUUCUUGUUGUCACGGUGUGGCUUAUUUCCUGUCUUAUUUUGUAGUUUCCUGCCUCUUGUCUCCCUGGGUAACUUCACUUCCUGCCUGGUCCUGUCAUCCCCUGUGAUUGUCUGAUUGUUUCCACCUGUGUCCAAUCACCUGCACCUCCCUAGUGUAUUUAAACUGUGUGUGUCUCUUGUGUCACUUGUCGCGUCAUUGUGCUGGAUGUUCCUCGUUCCUGCCUGCCUUUUUGCCCCGGUUCCUCUGUGUGUUUUUGCCCUUUUGACUAAUAAAGUCUUUUUGUUUUCUCAAUCUGCAUUUGAGUCCUGCCUUCCCACGCUCCCGUGACACUUGUAGAGGCAAAUUAUGAAAUGUAUAGAUGCUUUCAAGUAUCCCUCCACGUUGAGAAGGAAACCAAAAAUGAAUAGGACUCUCCAGACAUUCUUCUCUAUAUGUAUUUCAUUCAUUCCAUCUGUUCAGUUAAUAUGAAUAUAUGAUGUAAUAUGAAAGCACAUAGGAGCCGUUUUAAUUACAUUGCAAUAAAUCAAUCAAAAACCAAUUAAGGUGUCCAUUUUUCAAGUUCAUUCAAUUUAAAUGAUUUCUAUCCUAAUCUUAAAAAUUACAAGACACCAAAAUGAAAACACAGACUACCAAUGAUGAGUAAUAAUGAGGACUCAUUCAGCCCUCAUUUCAUUUGCCUCAAAUGAAGAAGUUGUAUACUUGCUAAUGUAGAUCCUCAAGUGAUCCAUCGAUUCCCUGCCGGGGCAUAAAUAACUUCUGUGUCUUACCAAUGAAAGUCAAACAUUCAAAAACAGAUUAGUUGAUUAUGAUGGGGCAGGAUUGGAUUUGACGAAAUGUUAGUGCACUACAGAGUCUGUAUCUAGAAUAUUAGUAAAAACUGAACCCAGAGUUCCGACCAGGAAGCAGAUUUACAGUCCAACACACUUACACACUGGCCUAAACAGAAUCAGUGUUUUAUGUAUAUAUUUUUAAAAUCUAUUCUAUUCUAAUUGUAGUCUUCUUCAUCUAGAAGGAAUAAACGAUUUGCUGCAUGUGGUCACAGUGUACCUUUAGAACCAAUGUACAGUAUGUUUCCACGAGUGAGUUAGAUUCAAGUCGCUUUAGAGUUGAGGAUCACGGCAACAAUUAGCUUGGUUGGGAUGAUGAAAGAUUAUGUUUUAAUCUUUCAGUUUCAGUUUAAUUGGCGCACAGCGGACAUGAGAGAUCCUGAGUUCAGCACCACUACUUACUGUCCCGGAAAUCAUUUUGAAUUUAAUCCUCACUACAGAUUUACAGUUAUUGUAUACUGAACGAUUCACACCUCCAGUAUUAAUGAAUUUCCGUUAAAUGUGUAUUUUUUGUGUACUGGGGGGCCCGCGAACCUCCAAGGGCGGAGUUCUGCUGGGGUGGUGUGGGGGAAGGUGAGAGUGAUUAAGGUGGAUGUGACUUGGAGAUGCACUGAAUGGACUGAUUAGAUGACUGAGAGGUGGAAAAAACAGGGUUGCAGUGGCAGAGCUGUAACAACAGUAUGCUAACGCUACGUCCUAAGAAUAUUACAUUGAAUGACAAAUACUCAAAAUACUAAUGUUUUAAAAUACAGAAAAUGGCUAAAAUACACACAGCCACCUAGAGGACGGUCGUCCAACUGAGCAACUGCAUUUCAUUUGAGAUAAUGUACUCUAUUACCUCCUCCCUGAAACAAAGAUUUCACCAUAAACCCCCAUGCAUCUGACCUGAUCUGUGUUACCGUGAUGCAGUUCAACACAUACGUGACAUGGAAAGAGUGAAAUGGAGCGCUGUGCCUGCCUUUCAUUUAAGUUUGCAUUCCCACAGCAGGCGAGGUCUCACCCCGAGUCUCCCGCUAAAAGGUUUUCACACAAGGGUGAUGUUUAUUCCAACAGCCACCUCUCUUCACCACUAAUCCAAAUGUUUAUAUGUUCAUUAAUCCAGAAUUUCCCCUAAUGCAUCACUUAUAAUAACAGACCUGGCACCUCCCAGGAAGUGUUGUGGCGUAAUUGUGAGUUGAGAGGAUGAGUACAUGGUCAUAUUUAGAGAUUUAGCGGUAAAGUUUGGUCUCCCUGUUUCGACCUGACACUCGCACUUGAAUCGACUCGAUGAUUUCCAAGCUCUGAUAUCCGCACUCUGUGUAAAGAAGCAAAAUGAGAGAGCUGUGUUGAAAAAUACAAAAAAAGCCUUUAAAAAUAAGUCAUCUCUGAUUAACAGACAUAACGUGCAGUAGGUGUCACCCUGGGGAAUUUGAUUAUUUUUCACCAUUAAUAAUAUAAACGCUUGAACAAUUGAAAUUUUCCACUUCUUAUAAUGUCUUUAUAAAACUUCAAUAAGAACGGCUGAAAUAAAAAGUAUGAUUUUUUCCAGGUUUGAGUUUCCAUAAAUCUGAUUUGACGUCCAAUCUGUAAUUAGCGGAAUUAGUACAGACCAAAAUAAUCGUCUGUAUGUAAUGGCAGCAAUCAGCUGCAGUUCCACUGCCACAUUAGUUAUAAUAUUGUCAGUUAUAAUAUUGCCAGCUGGCUUAACCAUGCAAUUUUUGCUGAAAUCCAGGUAGCAUAAAUUAUGUGUGUCCCCCCCCCCCGCACCAGUGUACAACAGUUUCAGAGUAGAAUUUCCACCUUGUGUCUGUACGGCACCAGCAACAAGUCAUGGAUAUAAUUUUAUCCUUUCUGAUUUUUGUGCAAAAUUGUCAUAAUUAGCAAAUCAAGUCUUGUGUGAAGGCCAAAAAGCGUUUUUUUUGAGGUCAAUGGUCUUUGACCACCAACCCAUAAUCAACUCAACUUGAAUCACUCAAUUGGAAGAGGCUCCCUCUCUGCCAGGGGUAUUCAAUGAAAAUCCAACAAGGUCCAGUUGGAGAGAGGUUCUUCAUGCAAGGUCCAGAACAUCACAAUGUCCAACUUGCGCUAUAAUAUUGUCCCAUACAUUAACAGAUAUAUUAAUGUAUUUGUGUAAUAACUGAAUCAAAUUUCGAAAAAUGAAUUGAAUAACAUCUCGACAUAAUAUAUUGUUGUUUUCAAAAUGAAAUAUAGGCAACCUAUACGGGGUAAUGAAAGAUAAACGUUUGUCUCUUAUUUCACAUAAAAUCAUGCUGAAAAGGUGAGAUGGCAGUAUAAAGGUGUUUGAUAUCAGCUGUCAAUCUGUUUUCUGUCCUGUAAACAGGAAACACAUUUACAGUGUGUCCGUAAAUUCAAAAUAAAUUAAUUAAAUUUUCCAGAGAGAUUUACCAAUCUGUUUUUUCAAAUAUCCCGUUCAAAUUGGAAGCCGUUGAAGUUCAACCUUUUCUGAAUGUUUGUGUAUCAUUUUAUGUGAGUGACAUAUCUUACUGCCUUUAUUUCCAGUUACUAAUAUUUAACUCAUUUGGUUUGGGCAAAGCUUGUAAAUUUAGUUUUUCCUAAUAUGCCAUAUCUAAAAAGAAAAAAAAACAAAUUUUCCCAUUUCUAUGGUCUAUAUAAAAUGGAAUACUUACAAUACUUACUACAAUAUGUAACACCAAUAUAAGGUUGAUGAGUUAGUUUCCAAAGCUUAAAGGAAAAAAGGAUCACUUGUCUUUUGAUUGGAUAUCAUUUUUCAUUCCCACACAGAAGACAGAGUUUACAGGAGAAAUUUGAGGAAUUUGAGGUGAAGUGUCUUGCGCAACGUAGCGCAACAUUGCAGCAAGUGGCGUAGCUUUACAGUGCUGUAACAUAGCUGUACAAUGCAGUUUUUACAACUUAGUUGUACAACGUGGUUUAAGAACUUGGCAUAACAAGUUGACGUAACAAGCUAAUUUAGUUAGCUAGCACACCGAACAUCAGACUCGUCAAAUUCCAGCAUCUUUUUGCACCCACGUUCAGCCAGACCACCUCUGGGAUUUUCCUUGCAGUGCAUAGAUGUUAUUUUAUAUUAUUUCAUAUUUAGAAUGUUGUUAAAGUUAAAAUAGUUAUAUUUGGUUACAAGAUUAAAAAAAACAUGUGGCUUUUGCCAAGACAGCACUAAAUCUGAAUGGGCAAUAUUAAACCAUGCUCUUCCCUAAUAGCAGUAUUACAUCUUUUCAGUGACAGCAAAAAGUGAUACAGUGAAAACUGUAAUUAAAAUGUCUAAUUGGCAUAUUUUAGUAGAAUGAAGUAAAUUACUAGAGCCUCAUGAAAUAAUUGAAAAACAAAGCAAUUAUGGUCUGCAGGCACCAUUCAGUCUGAUAAUUGCAGUGCAGCUCGGUCUGACAGCAAACAGAAUUGCACUGGGCUGAACUAGGAGAUUCACUUGCUGCGUUUCCAGCCAACUUCUCAUACUUCUCGUACCUUUUUUCACCUGUCAACCAUACACAGAAAACAUAUGAACAAUUGGGUUUCUUCUGAAACACAGCAUUAUGUUAAAUACUUACCCACAAACCUGUGUUUUAUACACGAGCGUCACAGGUUUAUUAUCUUUUGGACUUCCUACUAUGACAAAUAAUGAUACCUCAAGGAUCGCAACAUGUCCAUUCAUUUGUCCAUUUUGCUAUUCAAGUCUUAGAACUGCUGCUGACCACAUGGUUAGAUACCAGCAAGGGUUGGAAUGAAAACAUUUUUUUUAAUUCAAUGUCUGAAUAGGAAUAAUAAACACUUUUAAUAAACACAAGAUAAAGUGGGGCCCUGGCUGAAAGAGAUCGUUCAUCUGGCCUUUAUGCACACGGCCUGGUCUACUUUGCCUUCUCUUCUGAGGCAAAGCGGAUUUAAAUCAUUGAAAUACUCAGUUUGUCAAAACACGAGUGUGGAUGUUCACUGAUUAGGGUGACAAAGUGUCUGCUGAGUUUGUACACAGCAGUAGGCCUUUUGUUUCCUAACGGCGAGGGGUGAGGUCAGCGCAGCCGUAGCCAACAUCCAGACAGAAGUCAUCUGACCUCUUACUCCUACUUGCUUCUUUGGCUCUGUCACUCAGUGCCUCUCCUCCUACUCACACAGCCGGCAAUCACCUUCACUACAUCUUCACUAGGAACUGCUCCACCACUAACGUCUCUAACUCCACUUCACGUCUCUGACCACUUCUUCAUCUCCCACUCUCUAUAAGUAACUUCACAGCUAGGAACCUCGGCGUGACACUCUCCCUGACUCCCAAACUAUACAGCACCCAUUUUCCCACCUCUUAUUGAGUUUGCUGUCUGACUUUAAAAAAAUGCAAUUGUCAUUUUCUUUGUAUGGGACAUUAAACAGACUUCACGCUGCGAGCUUCCUUAUACAAAAUCCUAACAAAUUCUACAGUUGCUGAACCAAGGGAAAAUAAAAUGUGUGAGCACAUGGCAGUUUAGGCUUUAAAGGUCUGAGGUAAAAGUGCUCAUCUAAAAAACUGAUUUCUCCCUGUGUUUUAAGUGCGUUGUGGCCUUGGUGUAAAUACGUAUUUCAGGGUUCACACUUGAGGGAAAUACCCCUUUGGAUGGACUGAGAACAAGCUGGAAAGAUACAGUAUAUACAAAUAUUCCCACAACACACAGGGUCUGUGGGAACACCCUGGAAUCCUUCAGGAGGACAUUUCAGAGGAGAAAAAUAUCUGUUUGAGUAUAUAUGUGUGUAUGAGUACUGUUGUAUGUCAAACAAAGUCAAAUAAUGCAUCAUUCAUUUCAUAGUAAACAAUUACUUUAUAAUCAAACCUCACAUCAAUAUUUCACAAUGCUUUGUUUGAGGCGAUCAAAUAUUUUUCUUUCACGUAGAUCCCUUUUCGCAGUAGCUUUGCUGGCCGAGGGUCUCUGGAGGUUUGCACAGGUCUCCCGGGAGCUCUCUAAUGCAUGUGACCAGAGGAGACCUCCAUGUAGGUCAAGAUGUUUUCCAGGCACGUCUUCUCACUUUAUCCAUCUACUGGGACGCUCAGUGAGAAAGCCUCUGCCUGUCUGUCCACCCCAAAUGCUGCGGUGCCCUUUCCGGCUAAGGUGACAACAACUGUGUCUAAUUGUUUGGAAGGGAGCUCUAAAGAAAGCCGUCCUUUCAUGGCCGGGUUGCUUACUUCAAGGUGACCAACUGGUUAUCUUUGUAGUUCCAGAACCUCAUGUAGUUCCUUUAUUUCCAUAGUUUGUUGAAUGAUUUCAAAUACUGAGUACUAAAGAGAGAAUAAAAGUGUCUUUUGGUUGUUGGCUGGUCGUUGUGGGACAGAGAGACUAUGUGGACUGGCCGUAGUGGGGCGGAGAGGCUGAGUGGACUGGUUGUAGUGAGAAAGAGAGACUAUGUGGACUGGCCGUAGUAGGACAGAGAGACAAUGUGGACUGGCCGUAGUGGGACGGACAGGCUGAGUCGAUUGGUCGUCCUGGGACAGAGAAAUUAAGUGGACUGGUCUAGUGGGACGGGGAGACUAUGUGGACUGGUCGUCGUGGGACAGAGAGAUUAUGUGGACUGGUCGUCGUGGGAUGGGGAGCCUGACUGGACUGGUCGUUGUGGGACAGAGAGACUAUGUGGACUGGUCGUAGUGGGACGGAGAGAUUAUUGGGACUGGUCUAGUCGGACAGUGAGACUAUGUGGACUGGCCGUAUUGGGACGGAGAGGCUGAGUGGACUGGUCGUCCUGGGACAGAGAGAUUAAGUGGGCUGAUCUAGUGGGACAGAGAGACUAUUUGGACUGGUCGUCGUGGGACAGAGAGACUAUGUGGACUGGUCGUCGUGGGACAGAGAGAAUAUGUGGACUGGUCGUAGUGGGACAGAGAGAUUAAGUGGGCUGGUCGUCGUGGGACAGAGAGAUUAAGUGGACUGGUCGUCGUGGGACAGAGAGAAUAUGUGGACUGGUCGUAGUGGGACAGAGAGAUUAAGUGGGCUGGUCGUCGUGGGACAGAGAGAUUAAGUGGGCUGGUCGUCGUGGGAUGGGGAGGCUGACUGGACUGGUCGUUGUGGGACGGAGAGAUUAAGUGGACUGGUCGUAGUGGGACAGAGAGAUUACGUGGACUGGCCAUAGUGGGACGGAGAGGCAGCCCAGGUCGACUAUAAAGACUGUGUCCUCAUGAGGAUGCAUCCGACCAAAUGAGACACCGAUACAGAGUGGAAAGACAUAGGAAGCUGAACUGGCUAGAAACUGCUAAUUUGUCUCCGUCCUUCAGAGUUGAAAAAUAUACCCACUGUACAAGCACCACCAAGCUGACUAUUCUUAGUAGUUGAAGUGGAGUUAAAAAUCCUCAUCAGGUCUGAGACUACUUACUGCAUCAUGUUGAAGGAAAAAUGAAUUUUAAAGCAAGCGGCUGAGUGAUGAAACCCGAAGCUUCCGUAUGACGAAAAGUAAGGAAGUGACACGGAAUGCCGUGCAUCGCAUUUGAAGAAUUCAAUGUUUGUCAGACCAUAAAUAAGACAAGAAUUGCUCCCUGCAACUAAUUCGGUGGGAGGAGGGUUGCUGUCUGCUUCACGCAGCAGCCGCUCACUGGCCAUCCAAUGCCUUUAUGCUGCCAGUCCUCCCUAUGGGGAGAUGGACAGUCUCUCUCUCUGCCUUAAGGCCUGAGGCCAAGGGGUGUAACGAUUCAUUUUAACACGAUUUCGAUUCGAAUCACGAUUCAUGGGUGCCGAUUCGAUUCAUGGACGAUCUGGGUUCAUUUAGAACGAUUCGAUUCGAUUCAGUGACUUGAAAUCGAUUCAGUAACUUUACUGGACAGUGCAGGCAAAGUUUCUGAGAUCCCUGUUGUUUCUUGUAAGGAAAUCAGGUUUAAAUUAAUUAUGGAUAUUAUAAACAAGCAAACUACAAUUAAUGGCAAAUGUAUUAACCUUUUAUUUGAAUUAAGUUACACAAUAAUUCAUAAGGUAAUCAUUAAUAUAAUAAUAUGUGGGAUAUCUCGAACCCUGAUGUCAGCUUUCAUUAAAAGUACAUGUUCCCACAGUGGUAGAAGCUCAUACUCAACAAGCAUCGGGUUCAUUGUAAACAAUGGAGGACCAAGAGAGAAUAAAUAGGAUUAAUUGCUUUCCACACAUCAAGCUAAAGGACUUAAGUUCAACUUUAGCCAGUUUGCUAAAACGGAAUAAUUCCAGAAAUUCUGAUUAAAAUGCAUUGCCCUUUUAGGCAAGUUCAUUUAUUUAUGUAUCGAUAAAUAAUUAAAUGAAAGGAAAAUAAGAACGAAGACGGAAGACGGCCUGAAUUCUCUGUAAUCAUCUAUUUCAUAUUUAAUUCAGCCUUAUUCUAAAGGAACUACAAGUAACCCAAAAUGAUGAAAUGAUUCCUAAUUUCUAGUACAUAUUGUUUCUGACAUUAGGAAAAUUAUGUUAAAGAUAAAUGUAGGAGUGUGCCUGUGCGGCAACAUUGACAUUUUUAAAAUGAGUUAUGACGGUGAAGAUUAGAAGCAACAAAAGGUUACACAUUUAAAUGUGUAAUAAAUAAAUAUCAAUAAAUAUGACUCAACGGGUCACUUCUGGUCAUAUCGCUGAUGAACACAUCAACAUGCUAGAAAAUACUGCUUGUUUGUCAGGUGAGACCCGUUUACAGCAGGCAAUCAAUCAAAGCCUCAUAAUGUUCAUAACGACAUAUGACUACUCUAUAGUUACUGGACAGAUUGGUCAAAACCGUUAAUCCAGCUCAGCCCAAAAGUGUUUCUUUUCACAAGGAGCCCAGAGACGAAUGAGAUCCUCAGCAGGACGGGCUUUGGUAGCAGGUUAUGGUCCGGAUCUAAUUGACUGUUGUAAAAACAGAGUCUGCUUGGUGCUGCGGGCGCAAAGCAGCGUCCUAUAACUUAGCCACUGCUGGUACUUAAUAUAUAAUGCAAUAUUCUACACUGUGCCAUUUGUCAUUCGGAGCGAGACACAGAUUAUGGCUCAGGGCAGUGCAUCUGUCCUGGAGGCUGCUGGGAAAUGGGAACUAAAAGCUCCUCCAGCUGAGCCGGGGCCGAUCCCACCAUGAACCCUGGAUCACCUUUGCUCCUCCGCUUUCCAGCACUCUAGCCUCACGCACACGCACACACACACACACCUUCUCGCCGUCUUACACACACACACACACUCUCUUGCUGUUCCCCCCUGGUUUGUCUCAACAUGCAGGAGUUGGCGGUUUCCGUGUGUUGUUGCACACUAACCUGAGCAGCAGCAGCGUCGCCCCUAACCGACCGCACAGAUCCCUACUGCUGUCUGCAGCAUCUCCUCUCUGCAGGCCGCCUCAGCCUGCUGGGGAGUCUAAAUCAACCAUAUUGAUAUCCUACUGGGGGCAGUCUGGUUGCUUUGACAAAUCCUCCCCAGCGUUUAUCAAUCAAGUCAUCCUCAGCAGAGGGGAGGACCUCUAAAGACGGAGCCAGGCCCGCCUGCGGGGGCGCGGCGGAGAAAGGAAAACGCGCUGCGGUCUGCGCCGACACGUCACCGCCACGCCUCCGCUCUAACAAUUUAUGCACACGUGCCGCAAAUUAAAAUGCAGGCGGGGUGUUGGGGAAUUGUCAGGCUUCAAAUGGUUGACAUAACUUACAAGC